rnacentral:rRNA from 1 species
GACGAACGCUGGCGGCGUGCCUAAUACAUGCAAGUAGAACGCUGAAGGAGGAGCUUGCUUCUCCGGACGAGUUGCGAACGGGUGAGUAACGCGUAGGUAACCUGCCUGGUAGCGGGGGAUAACUAUUGGAAACGAUAGCUAAUACCGCAUAACAGUAGAUAUUGCAUGAUAUCUGCUUGAAAGGUGCAAUUGCAUCACUACCAGAUGGACCUGCGUUGUAUUAGCUAGUUGGUGGGGUAACGGCUCACCAAGGCGACGAUACAUAGCCGACCUGAGAGGGUGAUCGGCCACACUGGGACUGAGACACGGCCCAGACUCCUACGGGAGGCAGCAGUAGGGAAUCUUCGGCAAUGGACGGAAGUCUGACCGAGCAACGCCGCGUGAGUGAAGAAGGUUUUCGGAUCGUAAAGCUCUGUUGUAAGAGAAGAACGAGUGUGAGAGUGGAAAGUUCACACUGUGACGGUAUCUUACCAGAAAGGGACGGCUAACUACGUGCCAGCAGCCGCGGUAAUACGUAGGUCCCGAGCGUUGUCCGGAUUUAUUGGGCGUAAAGCGAGCGCAGGCGGUUAGAUAAGUCUGAAGUUAAAGGCUGUGGCUUAACCAUAGUACGCUUUGGAAACUGUUUAACUUGAGUGCAAGAGGGGAGAGUGGAAUUCCAUGUGUAGCGGUGAAAUGCGUAGAUAUAUGGAGGAACACCGGUGGCGAAAGCGGCUCUCUGGCUUGUAACUGACGCUGAGGCUCGAAAGCGUGGGGAGCAAACAGG